rnacentral:lncRNA from 1 species
AGCGUAUCUCGAAAGAUUAAAUCGACUGAACUGCCUGUAUCGAUCAACACUUUAGCGACGUCACACUUCGCUAUUCCUACCUCGACUAGCAGUGGAUCGUUGUGAGGUAAAUGGACGCCGAUGGCAUCGUUUGGUGAGAAAGUGAUUGAGGAAUCAUUCUCAGGUUUCGAUGGCCAUUUCUUCGAGGUUACUGCCUGUCGUCGAUGGUCCUUUACUGACCGGACAGAGUCGCCGCACGGAGGCAAGCCACCCAUAAUUACGUUUAGGAAGUUAGACUCGACGACUCGUUUAUUUCUCAGUCGAGUCCUCAAGUCGCUAGGCGAGUCUUUGACAACGGGCGAAUUUUGGACGUUGGGCGAGUCCUCGACCGCGGUUGAGCCCUCGACAACAGAUAUGCGUCCAUCCUUAUUCUUGGGCCUCACCUCCUCGAUUCUUCU